rnacentral:rRNA from 1 species
AACGAACGCUGGCGGCAUGCCUAACACAUGCAAGUCGAACGAGACCUUCGGGUCUAGUGGCGCACGGGUGCGUAACGCGUGGGAACCUGCCCUUAGGUUCGGAAUAACUCCCCGAAAGGGGUGCUAAUACCGGAUAAUGUCUUCGGACCAAAGAUUUAUCGCCUUUGGAUGGGCCCGCGUUGGAUUAGCUAGUUGGUAGGGUAAAAGCCUACCAAGGCGACGAUCCAUAGCUGGUCUGAGAGGAGGAUCAGCCACACUGGGACUGAGACACGGCCCAGACUCCUACGGGAGGCAGCAGUGGGGAAUAUUGGACAAUGGGCGAAAGCCUGAUGCAGCAAUGCCGCGUGAGUGAUGAAGGCCUUAGGGUUGUAAAGCUCUUUUACCCGGGAUGAUAAUGACAGUACCGGGAGAAUAAGCUCCGGCUAACUCCGUG